UCUUUUUUCUUUAUGUCACUACAGAAUUGUUCGAGUGCAGGCACAGGAACCAUGUGUUUUGAACGCACGCAUAUAAAUAAAUAACUUUCGCCAUAUCGGCCAGACAUCCGUGCUCUCCCGCCCACACAUUUAAUACAACAUUAUAUGUAGCCGUUCCCCUACUCGUACAUUAUGCUUUCGGCCAUCGCCAGACGACACUUGUCGUUCUCCAUAAUUGAUUUCUCACGAACUUGCACCCGGCAAUUCAAAAUCGAGGCCUCUUCGGAUACAGAUACGGAUACCUAUGCAGAUACAGAUAAUGAUACUACUGGAUGCGCCGCUGUGGGGUGUGGAAAACUGGCCCUGAUAUGGUUAUCAGGCGAGAGUGUAUGCAUUCGCGGAGAAAUGCAAUAAACAAGAUAGUGCCCCACUGAGUCACUGACAUCAAAAGAAGCGGACCGACCACACGAUAACUCCAUUCGAUGGAUGAUCCUGACCAUGGCCAGCGGGUAGUUUUUUCUAUAUAUUACGGCAUGAUACAUGGACAUUUUCACUUAAAAGUUGCGUAAGCAUUCGUAUUAAGCAAUGAGUAGUAGUACCUUCGAUUUGAUAAGAUAUGAUUUUCUUGACGUAAUAAUAUUUCCGUGUUUUUACGCACCCUUCUUGGGCUUAACCAUGUGUCACUGCAUUUAUAUUGGUGUCAAGUGCAGAGCCUACAUAAAAUAUAGUAUAAUAAAUAAUAACUUAACUUCCUCUCCA